UAAGCUGUGAAAGUCUGUACCUUUCUCAUCUUCUCUAAACAGAUCAAAAACUCUGUUUGAUAAAAGAGAGUGGUAUCAUUGUGCUGCAAUGGAAAAUAAAGUGUUGAUGUGUGUGGCAAUUUGCGCACUUCUUGCUGCAAGUGUGAGCGGAGAGCCAGCGAAAGCGGACUUGACCUCUGCCUUGAAGAGUGGCGGUGGAUUCCUGAAUGAACGUGCAGAUGAAGAGAUUCAAGCCGUUCCAAUGAGGAAGAAGAGAGGCGGUAGUGGCAGUUCCUCAUCAUCCUCCAGCCGAUAGAAGAGACAAGUUAUAACACCGGCAGAAGAUCAUCUACUUAUUUUUUUUUUGACAAUAUCAAUGACCUGAACAGUUGAUUUCCAAAAGUUGAUAUUCUGUUGAUCUUCUACUGUUUUACUCAGUCUCUUCUUUUUUUUUUCAAUGAUCUAAACAGUUGGUUUCCGAAUGUUGAUAUUCUGUUUCAAUGAAAAAAUAAUUUGCACACUAUUAG